rnacentral:rRNA from 1 species
GACGAACGCUGGCGGCGGGCUUAACACAUGCAAGUCGAACGGAAAGGCCCUGCUUUUGUGGGGUGCUCGAAUGGCGAACGGGUGAGUAACACGUGAGUAACCUGCCCUUGACUUUGGGAUAACUUCAGGAAACUGGGGCUAAUACCGGAUAGGAGCGCCUGCUGCAUGGUGGGGGUUGGAAAGUUUCGGCGGUUGGGGAUGGACUCGCGGGUUAUCAGCUUGUUGGUGGGGUAGUGGCUUACCAAGGCUUUGACGGGUAGCCGGACUGAGAGGGUGACCGGCCACAUUGGGACUGAGAUACGGCACAGACUCCUACGGGAGGCAGCAGUGGGGAAUAUUGCACAAUGGGCGGAAACCUGAUGCAGCAACGCCGCGUGCGGGAUGACGGCCUUCGGGUUGUAACCCGCUUUCGCCUGUGACGCAGCGUGAGUGACGGUAAUGGGUAAAGAAGCACCGGCUAACUACGUG